UUGUAUAAGAUAUAACAGUGUUAAACAGUGUAACAUAAUUUACUGAUACCUGUUUAAGAGAACAAACUGCCAACAGCUCACUGAUCCACAAAAACUUAACUGCAAAACUCAACAUUUUAAUUUCAAGGUCUCUGGCAGUUGAGUUGAUAAUUGUCUUGUGACAUUUAUCCAUUGCUCAUUAUGUAAACAAUAGAAUUAUAUUAUAUGAUCAGAAUUUGUCAAAAAGGUUCAAUGUAUACUUGAUUUUGAUGAUCUACAAUACAUGUACAAAUCCCGCAAAUACAUAAUAUAAUGUAUGCCAUAAAUGGCGUUCAGAGAUGAUGGCUUAUUUUUUUGCUUGUGGGAUGCCACACGUAUUGUUUACGUUAUCUUAUUUACAUGGAGUGUACAUGGAACCUUGGUUGAGAUUUUGAUUAUGGUGCUAUUUUAUUGUUUCAAUUGGUAUGGAUAACAAAAUGGGCAAAGCAGUCAACUUCCCUGAUUAAGACCUUGAGAUCAACAUGUAUGCAUUAGAGAGAAAUAUUUUGGUGUAGUAUUAAGCUGUUUUUCUCCUAUCAUAUAGCUCCGUUUGACCAGCACCUACAUACUGGGCAGAAUUGACUCAUUUCACCAUUGGUUAAUCUUGAUCAGCCUCAUGAAAGUCACCUGACAUGCUUUUGGUCAAUAUGACUGAACAAAAAACAGCCAUCGUGCGCACAGCAUGUUUGAGACCUAUUUUAGGACUGUUAGAAAACCACUCUCAGUAUCUAACCUAAGUAGACUCUGGUAAUGUUAUUCAAACAGUCUUAAAGGGAUACCCCACUGACAUUCUUCUAAAUAUCUUCCUUUCUGUUCAGCAGAAGAAAGAAAUUCAUACAGGUUUGAAACAACAUAUGAUGACAGAACUUACAUUUUUCGGAAACUAUUUCAUGAAGUUGGUUGAAAUGACGCCCAAUGGUGAAAAGAACCACAGAUCUAACUACUCAUUGAAGGUCUGCUGUUCUUAGUGGUCUUCCCCUGUACUUGAGAGAGCCAGCUUCAAUUUCAAAGACUAUUAAGGAUACUGAGGCACUGGGGCCACACACAAAGGCCAUGAAAAUGAAGUGACUGACAGUUCUACCAACUAGUGGAGGAGGAAGUUGUCAUGGACAAUCUGGGAGACUUCACAAAUUCCCUCAUGAUGUUUGUUUCGGCACUGGUUGAAUACUUGUGUAAUAUUUUACUUGAGCCUAACAGGCAAAUUCAUAUGUAUUUAAAUAAAUAAAUAAAAUGUUUUUUUUUAU